rnacentral:lncRNA from 1 species
CGACAUAAUUUUAGCUUCAAGCUUAGUGUGAGCCCUAUGCCACCUUUGUGAACCAGAUAAUUAGUGGUGUGAGAUCAUGCUAGUGCAUUAUUGAGAAAGGUGUUCAACUUUGUAAUUUCUUAUUCCCAUUUAGUUUGUUUGUGAUGGUACAUCUGCUUACAUACAAAGGUGUAGCGGUAAUUACAUUAUGUAAAUGGAAGUGCUGGUCAAAGCUUUGAUUUCGUGGAAUGCGAAAGAAUCCUGCAAUAGCGAGGCGUGGGGUCAGCAGGUAAGCGUCUCUGUCCUCAGGGCCGGUAUAACAAAACUAUUCCAAUUUGUUUUGGGGCUCAUAUGAGAGAGGCCUCAGCCAUUUUGACCUGUCACGAAGGGCUAAUGGUGCAUUUGUAAUGAAAACACAUUGGAAUAGUUUUACGUUAUACUGGCCCAGGGUUGAUUGCGGCUCUCUGGGUCUGCGGUGACAUAUGGUGACCCAGAAAUUAUGUUACCGCGUCAACUGGACUGCAUAAUUUGAGAAAAUUUUUCGCUGUCAUCAUGAGCAUCGGCGCAGGAAUUAUAUAUUCUUCCUGAUACAGUCUAUUGUAGUGCCAUUGAUGUUUUCGGCUGUGCAGGAAAGCAUGUGCCAUGCCGCCGCUCGACCCACUCUUCCAUAUUCUGGUACACUACAGCUACAAAGCACGCUUCCCCCACCCCGUGUUCCAUUUGGCCUGUGGCAAGGCAAAACUAUUUCUAUUAUGUAAAAACGGCUUUCAGUAAACCACAGCAGUUCAUAACCCUGAUUUCUCCUUACGGUCUGUUAGUGAAGCGCAUUUCCAGGCACUUCACCCACACUGUCGAGCCAUUAAAUAAAAAUUUAUAAGAAAUGUCUUGGGGUUGCUUUUAGAAAUUUCGAACUCAUUAUUUCAAUAUGAUUGCUACCACUAAUUAAAAAUCUACAAGCACCACAUUACCAAAAUUUUCGUGCACUAGAAGGUUUAAGUAUCGGGGUAAUCUGCUUCAAAACUCAGUUUAUGACGUUGGUUAAUACAGUUGCAGUACAGCACUCGUGUUGGCUUAUUCUGUGUUCCGUCGUGGUUUCAAAGUGCACUGCCGUGUUCUAUAUUCCGUUAUUGCACCAAAAUUCAGAUUGGCCUGCUCUAAACUGCUUGAGUGUAAAAUUUUAUCUGCUCUUAGUUGCUCCAAAAUUAGUCUCCUCCAAGCUGCUCCAAAAUGCAAUUUUCUCUGCUGCAAACUGCUCCAAAACGGUACUUGCUCUAAAAAUUGGUCCAAAAUUACUUUGGGCAGUCCCACCUCUGUUUUUUGUGGCUGGCUGAUGGUACCAAAAACAUUUGUAUUACUGUGUAUAAAGGCUGUUAGAACCUCAGGUUUUUCUUUUUCUUUUUUAGUGAUGCUUUUAAUUUUCCAUUCUUUUCGUCCUGUGGUUGUGGCAUUGUUGUGCCACGGUACUGCACGCAACCGUCAGAAGAGUGCUCCUACUAACAGAUCUGAUUCAUUACCAUAGCUAUGCCCCAGGAUUGAAUUUAGACUGAGCCAUACGAGACAGUUCUGUGUGCCCAGGGACUGAAACUAAACUAAACCAUACUAGGCAGUUCUAUGCAAUUGAUCCCUUUGACCACUGUUCAGGGAAUGUGUGGUAAUUGUGGCAUAAUUAAUACCAUUAACUCUGAUGAGGCAAUGUUGAUUGGACGCCUGUUCCAUUAAUCUGUUUUGUCGACUCUCUUUGGUUCUAACAGUUGGAAGAGAAGGAGCGACUUCUAAAGAGGAAGCAACGGUUCAACUCCACACCAGCAGCAGAUGUUUCAAAGAAGGCUAAGACAAUCACCACCUAGACUCAACAUUUUUGCUGCUUCAGAGAGCUGACGCAGGCACAAAAUGGAUGACUGCUCUCCAGGAGCUGCUGGAGGUUUAAUUCAAUGUUCACCAACCCUCAUCAACAUCAUUGUGUUCUUUGUUACAAAGUUAAUAAAUUAUUCAUAUCAUUUAGUAAAAAUUCUGCUUGUA